rnacentral:rRNA from 1 species
UACGUAGGGUGCAAGCGUUAAUCGGAAUUACUGGGCGUAAAGCGUGCGCAGGCGGUGAUGUAAGACAGAUGUGAAAUCCCCGGGCUCAACCUGGGAACUGCGUCUGAUACUGGAUGGCUUGAGUUUGGGAGAGGGAUGCGGAAUUCCAGGUGUAGCGGUGAAAUGCGUAGAUAUCUGGAGGAACACCGGUGGCGAAGGCGGCAUCCUGGACCAACACUGACACUGAGGAGCGAAAGCCAGGGGAGCAAACGGG